rnacentral:rRNA from 1 species
AGUGAACGCUGGCGGCAGGCCUAAUACAUGCAAGUCGAACGGCAGCACAGCAGAGCUUGCUCUGUGGGUGGCGAGUGGCGGACGGGUGAGGAAUACAUGGGAAUCUGCCCAGUCGUGGGGGAUAACGUAUGGAAACGUACGCUAAUACCGCAUGCGCCCUUUGGGGGAAAGCCGGGGACCUUCGGGCCUGGCGCGAUUGGAUGAGCCCAUGUUCGAUUAGCUAGUUGGUGGGGUAAAGGCCCACCAAGGCGACGAUCGAUAGCUGGUCUGAGAGGAUGAUCAGCCACACUGGGACUGAGACACGGCCCAGACUCCUACGGGAGGCAGCAGUAGGGAAUAUUGGACAAUGGGCGCAAGCCUGAUCCAGCCAUGCCGCGUGAGUGAAGAAGGCCCUCGGGUUGUAAAGCUCUUUUGUCCGGAAAGAAAAGCAUUCGGUUAAUACCCGGGUGUUCUGACGGUACCGGAAGAAUAAGCACCGGCUAACUUCGUG